UUGCGCUAUGGAAAAUCGUUAGGGGGAUACACUGUGAUAAACGUGCGUUCCGAGAUUGAUAAUAGAGACAAUGAGGCUGAAACGGGACUCUGGCGGAGGUACCAUUCAAGAGAACACCGGGUCCGGCGUCGGCCAGGAAGCGGAUCCAUCGGCACGACAGGAACAGACGCCUGGGAUAAACACGUAAGUUAUUUAUGCUAUAACGAGGCCAAAGCGACAUAAUGCUGCGUAUGUUGCGUAGAGAAUACCACUAUGUAAUUCAUAACCGCUGGAGUGCUGGAUGAAAAUGUAAGAUAAAAAAAAAAAAAAAGCCAAGAGGCGCUGACGCGAAAGUAUGAAGAAAGAAAAUAAAAGUCGCGUAUUCAAAGUCGCACAUGACGCGUGAUGUUGUUGUUUAGAAAGGUUCAAAACAGUUGUUUAAAAAAAAAAAUAAAAAUCAUGUUUCAUCAUCGAUAUGACAACAGGUAAAUUAAACUGCGUCAGCGCGAAGUCCGACAAGCCACAUGAAAUCCAGUGGGAAUUUCCGCUGCGAUGCUCGGACAUGCUGCGACGGCGUGACAGCGUAGUUUUGUUCGCUCUGAAACUUGUGACCGAUUUAAACGUUAAAAUGAGGAUGUAAACAAAGCGAGUUUGAGGGGGGAGGAUUCGGCAGGGAUGGCGUGUCAAGGAAGAGCUCGGAAUAGGAUGCUGCGCAAGAGAUGGAUAGUGCGUAAUCCUGUUGUGGGAGAGGACGACGUUACGCAGUUCAUAUUGGCACGAUCAUUUAACACCUCAUGGUCUCUUUUUUGACAGCGUGGCCAGAAUGAACAGAUAAGUUUUUCUCUAUAUAAAAAGCACUGUACUUUACGAACGUGGCCACAGAUCGACCGAGGGGAUUUGUGGUGUUGUUUGUGGGAUUUGAGAGCAAAAGAAAACUUGAGCACGAAGUGAGGAACAUGACGGUGACGCAGCUUGAUUUGUGUUUCAGGUGUCAGACAACAUUUGCUGCGUCACAGAGAUCCCAGGAGGUCCUUAAUAGUAAUCUGGCUUUAUAGUGCGCACUUGAUAUGUUGAAAACAAGCUGCAUUUCCCGAACAUAGGGGGUGCUGUUGAGUCACACAGUCAGGGGGCUGUAUCAUCUGCUCUGAAGGGAUGUUGACACACAGGUAUGUCUUCUCUCCCUAUAACUACUCACUGUUUUGUUUGUUUGUUUGUUUGUUUUAAAUCUCUGGGGUGGUCUGCUUUAAUUCAUUUUAAACUGAUGGCCAAAUAUAAUGUGAAUUAAUUUCAAUUAUCUGCACAAGCUUCCGAUACCUGAGUUGUAGUUUUGUGCUUCCCCCUGCCACUCUAAAGGAGUGAGCUCUUUAGCAGGUUUGUCAUCGUUUACUAGUGCCUGCCAUGCGCCCUUGUGAGAGCACAACAGAACACUGACACGCCCAACGUGAUGCCGCUGUUCUUGUUGUUGACAUCGAGCCUGCUGGCCUCUCUCCCACCUUCCUAAUGACCCCGGCGAAGGAAAGUGUGGUGCCUUCUGCUGCUCACCUGCCAAGAGGACGGGAGAUGAAGCGCUUCAUCACCUCUCGGAGGUUUGCGAGAAGCCAAGACACUAAAUUGCCAGAGAAGAGGAUUAAGGACUGACAGACAGGGAAAUUGUCCCCGAAAGACACAUGAAGAUUUUGGAUUAGUUCCUACGUCACCUUUUCCCAUCAACAGGACAACAGCGUCUGAGACACUGACAGGACAGGAUAAUGCCAGCCUUUUAAUGCCAGACCUACAAACAGAAUACAGACCUGGUUUUUCCAUCUCGCACCACAGUCAACCCCAGUUGGACCGGCAGCAGGACUGGAUGCCUGAGGCAGACCCAGGAGAGGACACAGUAUCCUAUUGUGAAUUACAAAGAAGGCUGCAGGGAGCUGCGGAGAUCUAUUUUUCCACAGCAUGAUUCAUAGACAGUUUUUGUUAGGGUUCAUCUCUGGUGCCAGUCUGCUGCCGUGGCCUUUCUUACACUGGGAUCUUGGUCAUCGGAUGCACUUUUAAUGCAAGGAAUUGAGCUGCUGACUCAGUGGUUCUUCUCAUUGGUGCCAGCAGAGAGAUUGAAUCUUCCUCAGUGUCUGGUUCUAUUUUAAUCUGUCCGUCUUCAGAAGAAGUUAGAACUUCGUUAGCAUCAGCUCACACAUGGAACUCAGAAAACGUACCAGUAUUUCAACUAGUGUGUUGAUAGCACAUAUUGGCUUAUAUAGCCAAUAAAACGUACUUUAUGCAAAGAGUUAUUUUUACAGUACAGAUGAAAAAACAGCUGGGAAAGAUGCUUAAGAUAAUAAAUAAAAUGCAAAACUGCGAUUUUAGCACCAUGCCAGAACUUGAAGACUGUGCUUUUGAAGACUGUGAGAUUGUUUUUCUCUGUAACACAGCCACAAUUAAAACCAAUAGGGACAACCACGAAAAGUGCCAAUAGCAUUUUUGUCCAUUUUGUUUAUGCAGAUGCUGGAUUAAUUUAAUCACAGUAUCUUCAAAAACAUCUCAAUCGUUCCUAAGCGAUUCAUACAUUAAGCAAUUCCACCAGAAAAGAAUGAAAAAUAAAAUUAGCAUCAAUUUAACUGCAAACAAAUCAAAUGUAACAGUUAUAGGUGUAGGCACUUUUAUUAAUAGAAUUACAAUAAUUGUUCAAAUGAAUUCAACAUGUUGAUCUGCUAAUUAAACAGUGAACAUGGUAGAAUCUCAAGUUCAACAACAUCAUGCAAAACAGUCGUUAAAAAAAUCUGUUUAAAGACGAUGACAGCAGUGUUUUUGUCUUUCUAAUUCCAGAUCGGGACAUGGAUUGAAACUAUAUUUUUUAUUUUAAAGUCAUCCUCCCCAGGGAACUGGUUUCAGAUGGUGUCUUAGAGUAUACAAUCCUAUCUAGCACCAUUUGAAAUCGGUGUUCUUGAGUGGGAACAGACUUCGGGAAUGACUUCGGUGCACAACUUCAUUCACUAGGUUGGCAUAAAGAUUGGUGACAUUGUUUGCAUUCAUAUUUUUACAUGCCCUUCCAGACUUAUGUGGCAUUCAGGCAUUUGAAGUCAUUUAAGAAUAUUUCAAAACAACAUCCACUGGUGACAAUAGAUUGCCCACUGGUGCACUGGUGCAGCUCAUGUUUGAGUCCAGCCUUCUGACCUCCCGAGCCCCCCUCUCACCAAGGCUGACCGUUUUCCUCUGGUGUUCAGAGUUUCCAUCAUAUCUAGCACCAUUUGAAAUCGGUUACAAUGUGGAGGGACUAUCAACAAACAAUGUGUCAGCCACAUGAUGAAAUUCCUUAAAGUACCAGAAGAUGGCAGCCUCACACUGCCAACAGCUCUUAUCUAAGGAGGCCAAGUUAGAAGAAUCCUGGAAACAAUAAAAGACUGAAUGACCCUGUUCAGGUACAAGACCAAGAAAAGUUUGGAACAAAGCAUAACUUGUCGCCAAGGACUGUUGUGGCUUAGGAAUUUGUUUUCUUCUUUUAUUACAGUUGCUCAGCCAUGAUGUCUGCAAGUUGCACAGUUAUCUUGGAAUUUCUUUUCAAGCUAUAAGUCAUUUUAAAAAAAAGAUUAAUGGUUACAUUUUUUAGUAGUCCUGUAGUUGUGUUUCAAAUAUACGUGUUUCCUCAGAUUUAAAUGUGCAAAAUGUUAGAUUAUACUUAAAUUAACAUGUUGUUGAGGGCCAUUUUUGCAUUCCCAAUAAUAAAGCAAAUGUAAUUUCACUCA